UGAUGAAUCAUGGCGGCAUAUCCGUUAUCGAUGUCUUUUCUUACUGUUUCGUAUCUCCAAUCUCCUUUCUCCUUCGUUUUCUCGCCACGGAACUCAGUGACCAUUGGUGUUGUCGGUAACCGAAGAGGAUCCACAGAUGAAGUGUCAGUUACACGACUAUGUGACUGUAAAUCUAGAGGAAUAGAGUCUGUAAGGGCAGUUAUUAAUGGUGAUAAUGGUGCUCCGGAAGAGCCUAAAACCACCCGCAGAGGCAGGAAGAAGGGAACCUCAACUUCAGCUUCCGCCACAGCCCCUACAAGAAAAAGAAGCCGUUCGAUGAAACAAGAAAUUGACAAUGGAGCUGCCGAAGUAAAGGAUACAAAAGAAGAACCGAAGAAAGAAGCAGCAAUUUUAACGGAAGAAAAAGAAGAAGAAGAUGCUUAUGACGAUGGGAUUGAUUCUUACGAUUACCCCCCACUAAUUUGCUGCUUUGGCUCAGCACAGAAAGAGUUUGUACCGACGGUUCGGGUUUCUGAGCAACGGAUGCAUCCUGACAUUUACUCCCAGUGGAAGAUGCUUCAGUGGAAACCUCCGGAGUUCGUCAGGGCCCCUGGUGGAUCCCCUUCGAAUGUUGCCAUAUCGCAUGUCAGACUUGGGGGCCGAGCAGCGUUCAUGGGGAAGGUUGGGAAGGAUGAUUUCGGGGAUGAGUUGGUUUACACCAUGAAUAAGGAAAAGGUUCAGACGCGUGCUGUGAAGUUUGAUCCUAAGGUGAAGACCGCAGCGUCCUAUAUGAAGCUCAAGUUGGAGGACGGGAAGAUGAGGGCGGAAACUGUGAGGGAAUGCGCAGAGGAUUCCUUUCUGAGCUCUGAAAUCGACUUGGCCGUGCUGAAAGAGGCGAGAAUUUUUCAUUUUAAUUCAGAAGUUCUUACAUCGUCAUCUAUGCAGUCUGCCUUGUUUAGAGCCAUUAGAGUGUCAAAAAAAUUUGGGGGACUUAUAUUUUUCGAUUUGAAUUUGCCUUUGCAAUUAUGGAGAUCUCGUGAUGAGACAAGGGAGGUGAUCAAGCAAGCAUGGAACCAGGCUAAUAUCAUUGAGGUAUCAAGGCAAGAGCUAGAGUUUCUUCUCGAUGAAGAUUAUUAUGAGAAGCGAAGAAAUUACAAACCACAAUACUAUGCCGAAACUUUUGAGCAAACAAAGGACCGUCGUGAUUAUUAUCAUUAUACUAAGGAGGAGAUUGCCCCAUUGUGGCAUGAUGGAAUGAAGUUGUUAUUUGUGACUGAUGGAACACUGAGAAUUCAUUACUAUGCUCCAUCAUUUGAUGGAGUGGUGAUUGGGACAGAAGAUGUGCUUAUAACUCCAUUCACUUGCGAUAGAACUGGUUCUGGUGAUGCUGUUGUGGCUGGUAUUUUGAGAAAGCUGACGACCUAUCCACAAAUGUUUGAAGAUCAAGAUGUGCUGCAGAGGCAGCUUCGUUUUGCAAUUGCAGCUGGAAUCAUAUCACAGUGGACAAUUGGUGCUGUUAGAGGUUUUCCAACUGAGAGUGCCACACAAAAUCUGAAAGAGCAGGUUUAUGUACCUUCAUUGUGGUGAGAGUGUCUUUAUGUUAUGAGACAACUGAUGGAUUUUUGGGGUGAUAGAUAGCACUCAUCUGACACUGGAUAUUGCUUGAGAACUGAUUAACUUGGUAGACAUAAUGGAGAUCGUUUAGCUUGGUAGACAUGAUGGAGAUCAUUGGCAUCCUUAAAGAUUGGGUGCUUAAUAAAUUUUGGAAGGACUAGUGAAGCUGGGAAUUGAACAAUGUAGAGUCGUUGGUUGCCUCAUUGGCUUGUUCCUGAGCAGUACAGAAGAAUGCAUUAGGAGUAUCUCUAGUGGGACUGUCUGCAAUGUUGAGGUUGUGAAAAGAGUUUCAGAAACUGGGCUCUAGUGAAGGCAGAGAAGUGCCUUGCAUCAGAUGAGGUGUAGAUCAUUGGGUUUUCGGAGGGGGAAGGAGAAAAGACAACUGGGGGAAAAAAGAGGGAGCAGAAAUUAAAUGUUCGUGGCAUAUAAUGUUCUAUCUUUAAGAUACUCUAUGAUAUGAUUUGCUCAAUGGGUGCUUUCAUAUUC